rnacentral:snRNA from 1 species
AGAUGUGAGAGCAAUCCAGCUGCAAGGUGACACACCCUGUUGGUGACCAGGGUUGAUUCAACUGAUCUGGCUGAGUAGCAGCGUGUCCCCUCCCUCCCUCACUGCUCCUGUGCGUUCUGUGUACUCAGUGGAAGAGGAUGACCUUCCCGGAUGGAGGAGGACCAUUCUUCACUGGAGGAUACACAAGUAGCUACAGUCCCCAGCUGGAACCUCCAAACCUGCCCCCAAGAAAGUUCCCAGGUGAUUCUAAGCAUAGCCAAGCUUGAGAACCGCUGCUUAAAGCCAAACUGAGAUCAAGGAUU